AUUGAACGCUGGCGGCAGGCCUAACACAUGCAAGUCGAACGAGUGGCGGACGGGUGAGUAAUGUAUCGGAACCUGCCUGGUGGCGGGGGAUAACUACUGGAAACGGUAGCUAAUACCGCAUACCAUCAGAUGUGCCCAGAUGGGAUUAGCUUGUUGGUGGGGUAACGGCUCACCAAGGCGACGAUCCCUAGCUGGUCUGAGAGGACGACCAGCCACACUGGAACUGAGACACGGCCCAGACUCCUACGGGAGGCAGCAGUGGGGAAUUUUGCACAAUUGGGGCAAGCCUGAUCCAGCCAUGCCGCGUGUAUGAAGAAGGCCUUCGGGUUGUAAAGUACUUUCGGCGGAGAGGCGUUAUCCGCAGAAUAAGCACCGGCUAACUCCGUGCCAGCAGCCGCGGUAAUAC
rnacentral:rRNA from 1 species